rnacentral:sRNA from 1 species
UUGCAGCACUGAACACUGAAGUCCUUUAUUUAUCCACAGGCUAGAUACGGUACAGGCAGCCGCAAUGCGAGCUUCCACGUACUACUCUGGUAAUGAGCUCCAGCCUGUCCUGGAGGGACCAUCCUCUCUAGGGGUGUAAAGGUAAUUCAGCCUCCGUCUUAGCAUGACCCUGUGGGU